rnacentral:rRNA from 1 species
GACGAACGCUGGCGGCGUGCCUAAUACAUGCAAGUCGAACGCUUCUUUCCUCCCGAGUGCUUGCACUCAAUUGGAAAGAGGAGUGGCGGACGGGUGAGUAACACGCGGGUAACCUACCCAUCAGAGGGGGAUAACACUUGGAAACAGGUGCUAAUACCGCAUAACAGUUUAUGCCGCAUGGCAUAAGAGUGAAAGGCGCUUUCGGGUGUCGCUGAUGGAUGGACCCGCGGUGCAUUAGCUAGUUGGUGAGGUAACGGCUCACCAAGGCCACGAUGCAUAGCCGACCUGAGAGGGUGAUCGGCCACACUGGGACUGAGACACGGCCCAGACUCCUACGGGAGGCAGCAGUAGGGAAUCUUCAGCAAUGGACGAAAGUCUGACCGAGCAACGCCGCGUGAGUGAAGAAGGUUUUCGGAUCGUAAAACUCUGUUGUUAGAGAAGAACAAGGACGUUAGUAACUGAACGUCCCCUGACGGUAUCUAACCAGAAAGCCACGGCUAACUACGUG